CCUACGGGAGGCAGCAGUGAGGAAUAUUGGUCAAUGGGCGGGAGCCUGAACCAGCCAAGCCGCGUGAGGGAAGAAGGUACAGCGUAUCGUAAACCUCUUUUGUCAGGGAACAAAGGCGGGGACUAGUCCCCGGAUGAGGGUACCUGAAGAAAAAGCAUCGGCUAACUCCGUGCCAGCAGCCGCGGUAAUACGGGGGAUGCGAGCGUUAUCCGGAUUUAUUGGGUUUAAGGGGUGCGCAGGCGGCCUGUUAAGUCAGCGGGAAAAGCCCGGGGCUCAACCCCGGCGAGCCGUUUAAACUGGCGGGCUGGAGUUGGAGAGAAGUACGAGGAAUGCGUGGUGUAGCGGUGAAAUGCGUAGAUAUCGCGCAGAACACCGAUUGCGAAGGCAGCGGACCGGCUCCACACUGACGCUGAGGCACGAAAGCGUGGGUAUCGAACAGGAUUAGAUACCCUAGUAGUC
rnacentral:rRNA from 1 species